UACGAAGGGGGCUAGCGUUGCUCGGAAUCACUGGGCGUAAAGCGCACGUAGGCGGAUUUCUAAGUCAGGGGUGAAAUCCUGGAGCUCAACUCCAGAACUGCCUUUGAUACUGGGAAUCUCGAGUCCGUGAGAGGUGAGUGGAACUGCGAGUGUAGAGGUGAAAUUCGUAGAUAUUCGCAAGAACACCAGUGGCGAAGGCGGCUCACUGGCCCGGUACUGACGCUGAGGUGCGAAAGCGUGGGGAGCAAACAGG
rnacentral:rRNA from 1 species